rnacentral:lncRNA from 1 species
GAAGUAUCAUGUCUGGGGCACAAGGAGCACAACCAAAAGGGUCAAAGACAGCAACAAUAUAUGAGUCAGUAGGAGGAGAGAACAGGACGAGGACUGAGUUGCGAUCAAGGGAGGAUCAAGGUUCCAUUCAGGUCGAGAAAUUGCAGGAGAAGGUCAGUGAUCCUGCUGGAAAAGGUGGUCCUGUCUUUGGUGCUGGUAAAGAGGAAGACAAACAAGAUCUUGGAGUCACAGGCACAGGCUAAUGCAUAAACCAAAACCAUGAUGCUGCUGCUUCUAAAUCUUUCUUAUGUCUCUUUCUGUCUCUGCAUGGAACUCAUUUCUCUUUUCCUUACUUAUUUUGCUUCUACUUUGUGUUUUAUGGAAUAAAACGGAAGAGGUUGAUGUUAUGACCUAAAUCCAUUACUUUCUUUUUCUUUUUUUACUUUUUCUUGAUACUUUUUUACUUUUUCUAUUUUUUUACUUUUUUUUUAUCGGCUCAAUAUUAUGGAAUAAAUUUUUUUAUAC